rnacentral:rRNA from 1 species
UACGUAGGGGGCUAGCGUUGUCCGGAAUCAUUGGGCGUAAAGCGCGUGUAGGCGGUCCGGUAAGUCCGCUGUGAAAGUCGAGGGCUCAACCCUCGAAUGCCGGUGGAUACUGUCGGGCUUGAGUACGGGAGAGGCGAGUGGAAUUCCUGGUGUAGCGGUGAAAUGCGCAGAUAUCAGGAGGAACACCGGUGGCGAAGGCGGCUACCUGGACAGAAACUGACGCUGAGGCGCGAAAGCUAGGGGAGCAAACAGG